GCACUGCUGAAGAAUCUAAAACUAGGACGAAACGGCCGUCUAGUGC
rnacentral:hammerhead_ribozyme from 1 species